AACGAACGCUGGCGGCAGGCCUAACACAUGCAAGUCGAGCGGACCUUUCGGGGUCAGCGGCGGACGGGUGAGUAACGCGUGGGAAUAUGCCCUUCUCUACGGAAUAGUCCUGGGAAACUGGGGGUAAUACCGUAUACGCCCUUUGGGGGAAAGAUUUAUCGGGGAAGGAUUGGCCCGCGUUGGAUUAGGUAGUUGGUGGGGUAAUGGCCUACCAAGCCGACGAUCCAUAGCUGGUUUGAGAGGAUGAUCAGCCACACUGGGACUGAGACACGGCCCAGACUCCUACGGGAGGCAGCAGUGGGGAAUCUUAGACAAUGGGGGCAACCCUGAUCUAGCCAUGCCGCGUGAGUGAUGAAGGCCUUAGGGUUGUAAAGCUCUUUCAGCUGGGAAGAUAAUGACGGUACCAGCAGAAGAAGCCCCGGCUAACUCCGUG
rnacentral:rRNA from 1 species